UACGUAGGGGGCAAGCGUUGUCCGGAAUCAUUGGGCGUAAAGCGCGUGUAGGCGGUCCGGUAAGUCCGCUGUGAAAGUCGGGGGCUCAACCCUCGAAUGCCGGUGGAUACUGUCGGGCUAGAGUGCGGAAGAGGCGAGUGGAAUUCCUGGUGUAGCGGUGAAAUGCGCAGAUAUCAGGAGGAACACCUAUUGCGAAGGCAGCUCGCUGGGACGUUACUGACGCUGAGACGCGAAAGCGUGGGGAGCAAACAGG
rnacentral:rRNA from 1 species